rnacentral:rRNA from 1 species
AGGACGAACGCUGGCGGCGUGCCUAACACAUGCAAGUCGAGCGGAGUUAUUGGAGGAAGUUUCGGAUGGAAUCCAAGUAAUUAGCGGCGGACGGGUGAGUAACGCGUGAGCGACCAACCUUGCACAGGGGGAUAACGGACCGAAAGGUUCACUAAUACCGCAUGAGACCACGGUGUUGCAUGACACAGGGGGUCAAAGGAGCAAUCCGGUGCAAGACGGGCUCGCGUCCGAUUAGGUAGUUGGAGGGGUAACGGCCCACCAAGCCUAUGAUCGGUAGCCGACCUGAGAGGGUGAUCGGCCACAUUGGAACUGAGAUACGGUCCAAACUCCUACGGGAGGCAGCAGUGGGGAAUAUUGGGCAAUGGGGGAAACCCUGACCCAGCAACGCCGCGUGAAGGAAGAAGGUUUUCGGAUUGUAAACUUCUGUCCUUGGUGAAGAGGAGAAGACGGUAGCCAAGGAGGAAGCCCCGGCUAACUACGUGCCAGCAGCUGC